UGCAGCAAAGAUUGCGCCAAGAAUACCAAAGAGUUCUUCAUGGAGGGGGACUUGCGACUUUGCUCGAGAAAGAAAUCUCAAGGCCGUGCAACACCCUGUUUGCAACACAAAGACUUUCAAAGAGCACCACACAGAGCACUCUCGGCCUUCAAGUGCGGUAACUUCGUGAUGCUGGUAGGCAAUGGAUUGAUCCUUCCAGUGUUCUGCUCGUUCGUGCUUGGCAUCGUUCCAGUCUCGAUCGUCCUCUUGUACUGCUAGUGCUAGCUGGGCGUAGCUUGCAUUUUCCAAGUCUCAAAAGUAGAAUCUUUUGCAUUCUCCCUUUUGCUCAUGAAACAUAUUUUAAAUGUGUUUUUUAAUAAUUAAUAUUUUUCAUAGUUAUCUC